UACACUGGUACUGAACAGACACAACACUGAAGCUCUUGCAAACUUCAACUGCAACUAUCUGACACAAAUCUGCGACUGACAGCAAGCACAGAAACUUCAAACAAGUCCCUGAAAGAAACCAAAUCCUGCGUCUUUGCCGUGACAGACGCCUAAAAUGGCUCGAGCUGUGACAAAGGAGAAGCACCCAGACUCAUCCAACGAAGACCGCUGUGCUCUGGAGAGUGAAUUUCCCUCUUACAUGUUUAGACCGAUCAGCGCACCUGCAUGUGAGGUCCCAAGUCCUCCACCUGCUGAUGCCUGGUUUCAGUCAAAGGACACAGAUAAGGUCAUGCAUCCAGACUUUAAAAAUGAUCGUUCAUCCCUGGAUGACGAAGUGGCCUUUUUUAUGUGUCCCAGUGAUGUUCCUCUGCCCCCGAGACCUCCACCCACUGCAGAGUUACGUCUC